rnacentral:lncRNA from 1 species
AGAAGGAAAUCCGAAAUAGUAAAUCAAGAUCUUGGAAGCAGUUUUGUAAUGUGGAGGGAAAUUGUGACCCUUGGGGUAAAGUAUACACUUUUCUAAAAAAAUUCUAAUAAUAGGGCCAUGUCUUCUACCUUGUUAACUGAUGCUGACAGUGAUGUGUGCUUUAAUUCUGAAAGGACAGUUGGAGUCAUAUUGGAUUAUUUUUUCCCUAAAGAUGAUCUCAGCCAAGAUAGCACUACUCAUCAGCUGGUUCAUUUCUGUGUUCAACAGCCAUAUGUUGCUGAGAUGUAUUUUUCCUGGGAAGAGAUACAUGGUAUGUGGCUUGGCUAACAAAAAGGUACCUGGACAUGAUGCAAUUACUUCAGAAAUUGCUGAACAUAUUUUCUCAAUUUCAACCUGAUUUCAUAGUUUCUA